CCCCGCUUCCCCCCGGGCAGCAGGCAGGAGCUGUACCGAAUGUGGCUCAACUGCCACAUGCAGAGAACAGCAGAAAGCAUGAACUUCCGCUCUCUUUCCAUAGAUGGAAUAUUUCGCAGUUCGGAUGGGUCUGUGAGGUCGGAGUUUUUCGAGAGGUACAUGGGAGCCAAAAGAAAACCAGACAACCUGCACUGGAACCAAGAAGGCAUGGGAGCAGUAGUGAGAUUUUUGAAACAAAUUUUAUGAAAUAUAUAUACAU